rnacentral:rRNA from 1 species
GCCUAAGUCGGAUUAGCUAGUUGGUGGGGUAAAGGCCUACCAAGGCGACGAUCUGUAGCGGGUCUGAGAGGAUGAUCCGCCACACUGGGACUGAGACACGGCCCAGACUCCUACGGGAGGCAGCAGUGGGGAAUAUUGGACAAUGGGCGCAAGCCUGAUCCAGCCAUGCCGCGUGUGUGAAGAAGGCCUUAUGGUUGUAAAGCACUUUAAGCGAGGAGGAGGCUACUUUAGUUAAUACCUAGAGAUAGUGGACGUUACUCGCAGAAUAAGCACCGGCUAACUCUGUGCCAGCAGCCGCGGUAAUACAGAGGGUGCAAGCGUUAAUCGGAUUUACUGGGCGUAAAGCGCGCGUAGGCGGCUAAUUAAGUCAAAUGUGAAAUCCCCGAGCUUAACUUGGGAAUUGCAUUCGAUACUGGUUAGCUAGAGUGUGGGAGAGGAUGGUAGAAUUCCAGGUGUAGCGGUGAAAUGCGUAGAGAUCUGGAGGAAUACCGAUGGCGAAGGCAGCCAUCUGGCCUAACACUGACGCUGAGGUGCGAAAGCAUGGGGAGCAAACAGGAUUAGAUACCCUGGUAGUCCAUGCCGUAAACGAUGUCUACUAGCCGUUGGGGCCUUUGAGGCUUUAGUGGCGCAGCUAACGCGAUAAGUAGACCGCCUGGGGAGUACGGUCGCAAGACUAAAACUCAAAUGAAUUGACGGGGGCCCGCACAAGCGGUGGAGCAUGUGGUUUAAUUCGAUGCAACGCGAAGAACCUUACCUGGCCUUGACAUAGUAAGAACUUUCCAGAGAUGGAUUGGUGCCUUCGGGAACUUACAUACAGGUGCUGCAUGGCUGUCGUCAGCUCGUGUCGUGAGAUGUUGGGUUAAGUCCCGCAACGAGCGCAACCCUUUUCCUUAUUUGCCAGCGAGUAAUGUCGGGAACUUUAAGGAUACUGCCAGUGACAAACUGGAGGAAGGCGGGGACGACGUCAAGUCAUCAUGGCCCUUACGGCCAGGGCUACACACGUGCUACAAUGGUCGGUACAAAGGGUUGCUACCUAGCGAUAGGAUGCUAAUCUCAAAAAGCCGAUCGUAGUCCG